GAUCCUGGCUCAGAUUGAACGCUGGCGGCAGGCUUAACACAUGCAAGUCGAACGGUAACAUAAAGAAGCUUGCUUCUUUGAUGACGAGUGGCGGACGGGUGAGUAAUGCUUGGGAAUCUAGCUUAUGGAGGGGGAUAACUACGGGGAAACUGUAGCUAAUACCGCGUAAUAUCGAAAGAUUAAAGUGUUGGACCUUCGGGCCGCAUGCCAUAAGAUGAGCCCAAGUGGGAUUAGGUAGUUGGUGAGGUAAAGG
rnacentral:rRNA from 1 species